GAUGAACGCUGGCGGCGUGCCUAAUACAUGCAAGUCGAGCGAACAGAUGAGGAGCUUGCUCCUCUGACGUUAGCGGCGGACGGGUGAGUAACACGUGGAUAACCUACCUAUAAGACUGGGAUAACUUCGGGAAACCGGAGCUAAUACCGGAUAAUAUAUUGAACCGCAUGGUUCAAUAGUGAAAGACGGUUUUGCUGUCACUUAUAGCUGGAUCCGCGCCGCAUUAGCUAGUUGGUAAGGUAACGGCUUAUCAAGGCAACGAUGCGUAGCCGACCUGAGAGGGUGAUCGGCCACACUGGAACUGAGACACGGUCCAGACUCCUACGGGACGCAGCAGUAGGGAAUCUUCCGCAAUGGGCGAAAACCUGACGGAGCAACGCCGCGUGAGUGAUGAAGGUCUUCGGAUCGUAAAACUCUGUUAUUAGGGAAGAACAAAUGUGUAAGUAACUAUGCACGUCUUGACGGUACCUAGUCAGAAAGCCACGGCUAACUACGUG
rnacentral:rRNA from 1 species